rnacentral:lncRNA from 1 species
CCUAUGGUAGUAUAAUGGGAAAAACCUGAAUGUUCCUCAUCAUUUUAUUAAUAUAACCAUGGAUAUAGCAUGUAAUAAAAAUGACUUAGCAUCUUACCAAGCCAAUCAAAAUACAUGAAAAGAGAUGGCCUGGCAUCUUACCAAUCUAAUCAGAAUACACCAUGAUAAUUUAAAAAACAUGGAGUUGUAGUCCUAACAAGUCAUGA